rnacentral:rRNA from 1 species
UACGGAGGGUGCAAGCGUUAUCCGGAUUCACUGGGUUUAAAGGGUGCGUAGGCGGAUAGGUAAGUCCGUGGUGAAAUCCUGCAGCUUAACUGCAGAACUGCCGUGGAUACUGUCUAUCUUGAAUGUCGUGGAGGUUAGCGGAAUAUGUCAUGUAGCGGUGAAAUGCUUAGAUAUGACAUAGAACACCCAUUGCGAAGGCAGCUAACUACGCGAUAAUUGACGCUGAUGCACGAAAGCGUGGGGAUCAAACAGG